AAUCAACGUUGGCGGCGCGCUUAACACAUGCAAGUCGAACGAGAAAGUGGAGCAAUCCAUGAGUAAAGUGGCGUACGGGUGAGUAACACGUGGGUAUCCAUUCUUUGGUGGGGAAUAACUCUGGGAAACCGGAGCUAAUACCGCAUAAGUCCGAGAGGAGAAAGGUGAAAAUCGCCGAAGAGGGAGCCCGCGGCUGAUUAGCUAGUUGGUGAGGUAACGGCCCACCAAGGCGAAGAUCGGAGCCGGCCUGAGAGGGCACACGGCCACACUGGCACUGAGACACGGGCCAGACUCCUACGGGAGGCAGCAGUGGGAAUCUUGCACAAUGGGGGAAACCCUGAUGCAGCGACGCCGCGUGAACGAUGAAGCCCUUCGGGUGUAAAGUUCUUUCGGCAGGAACGAUAAUGACGGUACCUGAAGAAGAAGCUGCGGCUAACUACGU
rnacentral:rRNA from 1 species